UGAAUACGAGAUGCUACGGCGUCGAAGCAGUGUAUGUCAGACUUCCAAGAAAAGCUCGCAAUGUCAUAAAUAAAGAAUGCCUGUACCAUAACCGACACAGGUGGUAGGUAGAGUAUACUAAGGGGCGCGAGAUAACUCUCUCUAAGGAACUCGGCAAAAUGACUCCGUAACUUCGGGAGAAGGAGUGCCUUAUUUAUAAGGUUGCAAUAACAAGAUCCAAGCAACUGUUUAUCAAAAACACAGGUCUCCGCUAAGUCGUAAGACGAUGUAUGGGGGCUGACGCCUGCCCAGUGCCAGAAGGUUAAAGAAGUUGGUUAGUGUAUGCGAAGCUGAUGACUGAAGCCCUGGUGAACGGCGGCCGUAACGAUAACGGUCCUAAGGUAGCGAAAUUCCUUGUCGGGUAAGUUCCGACCCGCACGAAAGGCGUAAUGAUUUGGAUACUGUCUCGGAGAGAGGCUCGGUGAAAUAGACUUGUCUGUGAAGAUGCGGACUACCUGCACCAGGACAGAAAGACCCUAUGAAGCUUUACUGUAACUUGAAAUUGGAAUUGGACUUUGCUUGCGCAGUAUAGGUGGGAAGCGUUGAAGAUAUUCUUGCGGGAGUAUUGGAGCUAUCAGUGAGAUACCACUCUUGUAAUGUUAGAUUUCUAACUUUGAACCAUAAUCUGGUCAAAGAACAGUUUCAGGUGGGCAGUUUGACUGGGGCGGUCGCCUCCCAAAUGGUAACGGAGGCGUACAAAGGUUUCCUCUGAACGGAUAGAAAUCGUAUCUAGAGUGUAAAGGCAUAAGGAAGCUUGACUGUGAGACCUACAAGUCGAGCAGGGACGAAAGUCGGUCUUAGUGAUCUGACGGUACUGAGUGGAAAGGCCGUCACUCAACGGAUAAAAGUUACUCUAGGGAUAACAGGCUGAUCUCCCCCAAGAGUUCACAUCGACGGGGAGGUUUGGCACCUCGAUGUCGGCUCAUCGCAUCCUGGGGCGGUAGUACGUCCCAAGGGUUGGGCUGUUCGCCCAUGAAAGCGGUACGCGAGCUGGGUUCAGAACGUCGUGAGACAGUUCGGUCCAUAUCCGGUGUAGGCGUUAGAAUAUUGAGAGGAGCCUUCUUUAGUACGAGAGGACCGAGAAGGACACACCGCUGGUGUACCAGUUAUCGUGCCAACGGUAAACGCUGGGUAGCUAUGUGUGGAGUGGAUAACCGCUGAAAGCAUCUAAGUGGGAAGCCCACCUCAAGAUGAGUAUUCUCAC
rnacentral:rRNA from 1 species